AAUGAAUGAAUUGGAAAUAUGUAUACCACUUUUUAUCUAUUUAAAUAAUAUAAAAUACAUUCAGCAAAAUUGUUUUCUAAUGUUUAUAUUACUAUUGAAGAAAAUGUAUAUUGAAAAAUACAAAGUAACACAGAUCUAUUUAAAAAGUUAAAAAUAUGGAAGGUCAUUCAUAUGUUUCAUGUAUCAAGAUUAAUGGAAUUCCUAUUUUACCACCAAUGAUAACUAAAGAUAUUAAGCGAGAAUUAUCUAAUUAUAAAGAAAGUGCAAUAAAUAUAGAAAAAAAAUUGAUUAUUUCGCGUAUUAACAAGCAAUGUAAUAGUAAUACCUAUAUAGAAAAAGUUCAAAAAGAAUUGAAAGAUAUAAAAUAUAAUUAUAGUUCAAGAGAAAAUUUGAAUUCUUUUGAAUAUGAUAAUUUUAAUGAAAAUAUUGUUACAGAUGUAAGUGAUGUUCCAAUAGAAACAUUCAAAAGUUCUAAUGAAAAUCUAGAAAAAACUUUACAGUAUGAUAAAGAUUUAAACUUGAGAUGUAAAUCUGAAAAUCAGAUAAAUUUAGUUCCUAGUACUGUUUCAAGAUCAGAGUCAAUAACUUCUAGUAAUGAUUCAAAUACAACAACUUUAAUAAAAUCUACUACUACAGAAACAAUAUCAGAAAUUUGGAAACCACAAGUGCCUAAAACAUUAAAUAUAAUUCCAUUGACAUUAAAUAAUGCUAAUCUUAAAGAAAAUGAAUGUCAAGAAAAUGAUUUGGAUAAUUUAGGAGACACUCCUAAAUUAGUACGUCAAGGUUCCUAUGUGUUAGAUACUCCAAGUCCUAUAUUGUUGGCACAUAUGCAAAUGGAAUUAGCUAGUUCAACUUGUGCUCCUUCUUCUGAAUAUGUUCCAACCUCCUGUACUAAUGUGAAUCGACGAAAAGAAUGGAAUGUUGCACAAGCUAAAGUUGAAUGGGAAUAUGAAACUAAAAAUAAGGAAUCUGUUCCUAUUGCAAACUUUUAUUCUAAUAUUGAACAUAAAAUGUGUAAGUCUGUUUCUUUACAAACAAAGCCUGAAUGUUCUUUAGCAACAUAUUCAUCAACAAGAUCAGCUGAUUGUAUUCAGACAAUGUUAGCUAAAGAAUAUAUUGAUAAAAGUGAUAUACAAAUUAAUCAAGAUAAAAAGCAUACUAUAGAUAAUAAUAAUGAAAUGAGAAAAAAAUUUCAAACAUGGAAUAAAUGUAACAGCACUUUUAAUUCAUGUAAAAUUGGAGGUUCUUUAGAAAAUCUAAAUGAGCAAAAUAAUAUUUCUACAUCUAAUAACUUUAUGGAGAAACUCUCAAGAAACACAGAUAAAAAUUCUAUAUCUAGAUUAAAAUCUAUUGCAUCUGAUAAACUUUUAACAGUUUACAAAAAAGUACAAGAAAUGCAUAAAAAACAAAUGGCUGAAUUAAUGUUUCGUCAACAUAGAGAACAAACAUUACUUCAAAAGGAAUUUGAAAAGCAACAAUUACUUUUAUUGAUUGAAAUUAAAAAAUCCUUUCCAGAAGUUUCAGUUUCUUUACUUUCUGAAAAUAUUUUAUCUCCUGCUUUUAAUCAAAUUAUUUCUAAUGAUAAUAAGGUUUUUGAAAAUAAUGAUAAUAUGCAAAAUGUAAAAAAAGUAAAAAAUAAUUUAGAAGAUAAAAUAGAAUAUUCACAAGAUCAUAUGAAAAUGAUUUCAUGCCCAUUAAAUUAUAUAUAUCCUGAAAUGAAUUAUGAUAAUGCUUCCUAUUCUACUAAAUAUUCAUGUAUAGUUCAGUCAUCAGAAACAGAACUAUCCAAUAUUAAUAAUUCUAUAAAAAAAAUGAAAGAAAAAGAUGUAGAGAUACAGUCAAAUGAUAUAAAAAAUCAUAAAGAAAAAUUAUUAGAAGAAACUGAAGAUAGUAAACGUUCAAACGUUAGUCGAGAAUUAUUUCCUUUAGAUAGUAAGACUACCCAUGUACCAAUCCCUGAUAGGACAAUAUAUGAAACUAAACAUAUAAAAGCAGCAAAUGUAAUAAAUGCAUAUACAAGAGGAUAUUUAGUACGUAGAAUGAUGCAAACUGAACGUGUAAUUGCUUUAAAAAAUACAUAUAAAGAAGCUUUACAUUGCAUGCUUAAACUUCAUGUUGAUGCACCUCUUAAUCGUUCAGAAUUUAAUUUUUUACAUCGUCUUCAAUUACAGUGCGAUGCAGCUUCUAUGAAUAUAGUGGAAUUAUUUGCCCAAAAUCCACAGAAAAGAAUGCAAGUAAUAGCUCAAGAUCGUGAAAUUAAACAAACUCGCAUAGAGCGUCCUACAUCUGCAAGAUCGUAUUCAUUUGCAACUCAGCGGACUCUAGCCAGGAAAAAAUUGAAGGAGUAUGACUCUGCAUAGAUGGAAGAAUAUCAACCAACUUCGUUUGUUCGUUCAUGUUUGUCUAGAUCUAGAUGUCAAACUUGGACUUCAGAUAUUAAAGAAAGACUUAUUUCUUCAAACAUUUUGUAUCAAAGUAUUAAAAGAAGUACUAGUGCCGGAACUGUACGAAAACCAUGGCGGUAAAUUAUAAAAAAUAUAUAGUGCCUUUUAUUAUUGACUUAGUAUAUAUAUAUGUACAUUUUGUUAUAUGUAAACAAAUCCACUUUGUGCCUGAAUUUUGUAAUAAAUUUGUUUCAUAUAAAAUA